AACCGGAUUAGAUACCCGGGUAGUCCAUACCGUAAACGAUGAAUGCUAAGUGUUGGAGGGUUUCCGCCCUUCAGUGCCGCAGCUAACGCAUUAAGCACUCCGCCUGGGGAGUACGACCGCAAGGUUGAAACUCAAAGGAAUUGACGGGGGCCCGCACAAGCGGUGGAGCAUGUGGUUUAAUUCGAAGCUACGCGAAGAACCUUACCAGGUCUUGACAUCUUGCGCUAACCUAAGAGAUUAGGCGUUCCCUUCGGGGACGCAAUGACAGGUGGUGCAUGGUCGUCGUCAGCUCGUGUCGUGAGAUGUUGGGUUAAGUCCCGCAACGAGCGCAACCCUUGUUACUAGUUGCCAGCAUUCAGUUGGGCACUCUAGUGAGACUGCCGGUGACAAACCGGAGGAAGGUGGGGACGACGUCAGAUCAUCAUGCCCCUUAUGACCUGGGCUACACACGUGCUACAAUGGGCGGCACAACGAGCAGCGAGUCUGUGAAGACAAGCGAAUCUCUGAAAGCCGUUCUCAGUUCGGACUGUAGUCUGCAACCCGACUACACGAAGCUGGAAUCGCUAGUAAUCGCGGAUCAGCACGCCGCGGUGAAUACGUUCCCGGGCCUUGUACACACCGCCCGUCACACCAUGGGAGUCUGAGAUGCCCAAAGCCGGUGGCCUAACCUUUCGGGGAAGGAGCCGUCUAAGGCAGGGCAGAUGACUGGGGUGAAGUCGUAACAAGGUAACC
rnacentral:rRNA from 1 species